AGGAUGAACGCUGGCGGCGUGCUUAACACAUGCAAGUCGAACGAUGAAGCAGAGCUUGCUCUGUGGAUUAGUGGCGAACGGGUGAGUAACACGUGAGUAACCUGCCCUUGACUCUGGAAUAAGCGUUGGAAACGACGUCUAAUACCGGAUACGAGCUUCCGCCGCAUGGUGAGGAGCUGGAAAGAAUUUCGGGCAAGGAUGGACUCGCGGCCUAUCAGGUAGUUGUGAGGUAAUGGCUCACCAAGCCUACGACGGGUAGCCGGCCUGAGAGGGUGACCGGCCACACUGGAACUGAGACACGGUCCAGACUCCUACGGGAGCAGCAGUGGGAAUAUUGCACAAUGGGCGCAAGCCUGAUGCAGCAACGCCGCGUGAGGACGACGGCUUCGGUUGUAACUCGUUUAGUAGGUAAGAGGUCUUGGUCGUGACGGUACUCGACAAGAAAACGCGAACCGG
rnacentral:rRNA from 1 species